rnacentral:rRNA from 1 species
AGCUCCAAUAGCGUAUAUUAAAGUUGUUGCGGUUAAAAGCUCGUAGUUGGAUUUCUGCCGAGGACGACCGGUCCGUCCUCUGGACGUCGUAUCUGGCUUGGCCUGGGCAUCUUCUUGGAGAACGUUACUGCACUUGACUGUGUGGUGCGGUAUCCAGGACUUUUACUUUGAGGAAAUUAGAGUGUUUCAAGCAGGCAUACGCCUUGAAUACAUUAGCAUGGAAUAAUAAGA